AUGAACAAUUUUUCUUCUUGUGCUCUCUAUUAUCACUCGGAGCGUGUUCUUGUAAUUUUUAGCACUUAAAUGAAGAAUUUCAGAAUAAAAUUUUAGUAAGAAAAUGUGUUCAUCCCUGUGUGGAGCGUGCUUCCCCAACGGCUAUGAAACUACAGCCAUGGAUCUUGGAAGGAAUGGCUCUCCGUUAGCUGUAAAAAAAUAUGACUGUUGCUGUAUAUAACCGUUUUAAAAAGCAGUAAAAAGCAGUGACCGUUGCUGUAUAUUCAUCUCUUAUAAAUGGCAGCAAGACUGUUCUUGUGAAUUAGCGAGGGCUUGUGUUUUUCCUCUCCCUCUCAAUGUUUUCUUUGUCUUUGUUUCUUUUGUCAGUGUCUUUUAUUGGAGUUUUAUGUUUGUUUUGUCAGUGUCUUUUCUUGUAGUUUUAUUGUUUGUUUUGUUUUAUAAGGAUUUUCCAUGUUUUCUGAUAAGGGUUUUGUACUGUUCUUCUUCUGUGAUUUGUUUUUUAGGGUUGGUUUUUCUAUUUGACAGAGGAAGAGGGAAGGCAAGCUGAUUCCAUCUCCAAUUUCCUUCCUUAGCAGUUAAGAGAGAGGAGGUUGGCCUGGUCAUCCGCAUUUUGGGUUGAAUGACAAAGCUACCGGGGAGGGAGGAAGAUACAUGUUGAAGGCUCUGCGCUUAGUCUCAGUUGCAUCUACAUUCAGGGUGAACAAGUGCUUGAAAGUUUUUGGUAGCUGCUGAAGUCAACUAAUGAAUGUAAUUUAAAUGUUUUAAUAUUGAUCAGGGUUUCUAAUUUAAAUAUUUCAAUAUUGAUCAGGGUUUUUAAAUGCAGUAUUUAAUAUCUAAAACAGGUAAAAAUGUUGAAUUUUUAAAUCAAUUGUUAAAAUUGGUAUAAAUGUAAUUUGUAAAUUGAGGCAAUUUACAGAAUGAUCUAAAACUGAAGAUGAUGUUUUAUUUUUAAAUCACUAAAUGUAAUAUGUAAACUAAUUUAUUAUUUAAUGCCAUUAUUUUUAUUUGGGAGGGGUUGAUUUUGCCCCCUUCCUAAGGCU